rnacentral:rRNA from 1 species
UACAGAGACUGCAAGCGUUUAUUCGGAUUCACUGGGCGUAAAGGGUGCGCAGGCGGUUGUGUGUGUCAGGUGUGAAAGCCCGGGGCUUAACCCCGGAAUUGCGCCUGAAACUACAUGACUAGAGCAUUGGAGAGGGUAGCGGAAUUCACGGUGUAGCAGUGAAAUGCGUAGAUAUCGUGAGGAACACCAGAGGCGAAGGCGGCUACCUGGACAAUUGCUGACGCUCAGGCACGAAAGCGUGGGGAGCAAAAGGG